rnacentral:rRNA from 1 species
CAGUCGCCGCGGUAAUACGGAGGGUGCGAGCGUUAAUCGGAAUUACUGGGCGUAAAGCGUACGCAGGCGGUUUGUUAAGUCAGAUGUGAAAUCCCCGAGCUUAACUCGGGAACUGCAUUUGAAACUGGCAGGCUAGAGUCUCGUAGAGGGGGGUAGAAUUCCAGGUGUAGCGGUGAAAUGCGUAGAGAUCUGGAGGAAUACCGGUGGCGAAGGCGGCCCCCUGGACGAAGACUGACGCUCAGGUACGAAAGCGUGGGGAGCAAACAGGAUUAGAUACCCGUGUAGUCCCUGUCUCUUAUAC